rnacentral:rRNA from 1 species
CGGAGAAGGAGCCUGAGACAAGGUUCCAGGUCCUACGGGACGCAGCAGGCGCGAAAACUCCACAAUGCACGAAAGUGCGAUGGGGUUAUCCCGAGUGCCGUCUGAUGAAGAUGGCUUUUCACUGGUGUAAUGAGCCAGUGGAAUAAGGGGAGGGCAAGACUGGUGUCAGCCGCCGCGGUAAUUCCAGCUCCAAUAGCGUAUAUUAAAGUUGUUGCAGUUAAGAAGCUCGUAGUUGAACCUUGGGCCUGGCUGGUCGGUCCGCCUCACCGCGUGCACUGGUCCGGCCGGGCCUUUCCUUCUGGGGAGCCGCAUGCCCUUCACUGGGUGUGUCGGGGAACCAGGACUUUUACUUUGAAAAAAUUAGAGUGUUCAAAGCAGGCCUAUGCUCGAAUACAUUAGCAUGGAAUAAUAGAAUAGGGCGUGUGGUUCUAUUUUGUUGGUUUCUAGGACCGCCGUAAUGAUUAAUAGGGAUAGUCGGGGGCAUCAGUAUUCAAUUGUCAGAGGUGAAAUUCUUGGAUUUAUUGAAGACUAACUACUGCGAAAGCAUUUGCCAAGGAUGUUUUCAUUAAUCAGUGAACGAAAGUUAGGGGAUCGAAGACGAUCAGAUACCGUCGUAGUCUUAACCAUAAACUAUGCCGACUAGGGAUCGGGCGAUGUUAUCUUUUUGACUCGCUCGGCACCUUACGAGAAAUCAAAGUUUUUGGGUUCUGGGGGGAGUAUGGUCGCAAGGCUGAAACUUAAAGAAAAUUGACGGAAGGGCAC